UACAAAUUAAAACAAAAGAUGCCAUAUCCAAAAGAUUCUACUGGCCUGGAAUGUCUUUAGAUAUUGAUGCUUGGGUAGGUGCAUAUUUGGAUGAACUACAAACUGUGAUUAAAGUAUGGUAACAAGUUUUGAAAUUUGAUCAUUUUUAUCUAUUCUUUUUCUGUGUUUUGUAUGCAAUCAAAUUUAUAAUAGGUUUCCAGGUGUGUGUUAUGCCAGAGCAAGCGUUGCGACCUUAAGCAAAGUGUGGAGUACAUCCCUAUAGAGGUUAUUGAGAAUAACCUAAUAUGAUUAUAUGCAGGUUUUAUUCAAAUUUUAAUGAUGAAAUAUAAACAUCAGAUGUAUAGAAUGUCACAUUCCAUUUUCAUAUUUUACUGAAGUGUAGUUUUUUAUUCAUACAUUUUAUUUUGUCAUUCUUAGGGGUGUAAAACUAGGAGGACCACAGAUCUGCAGUGUUUACUUUUAUACCCUCUUCCCCCACACCUAUGACUCUCAAGUGUUCUUGAACAUCGUAUGUAGUGGUUCAAAUGUGUAAAUGGGGUUGAGGGUAAAUAUUGCAGGACUGUGGCCCUGCAGGAGCAGAGUCUGACAUCCAGACAGCUGCAGUUAUAAUUUAUAAGCAUUGGUUAUGUGCAUGGUCAAUGCAUUCUUUAUUUAUCAGGUCACUGCCCCGUUUAAAAUCUUUUAUUGGGACAUUUGACAGGAAGGCCCAAACCAGGAAUUAGAGAGUGAGGUAAAAAAAAAACAGUUCAGUACAGCGUGCAAGUUAUCUUUGACAUUAUUUCUCAUAUUCAUAGAUUUUUAAUUUUUAUUCUGUUGUUACUGCAAGGUUGUCAAUGCAUAUUUACAUUUAAUGAUGAGGAAAUACAACAAGCUCCAUCAGGAAGAGACCCUGUUUGCUUAUUAUUUUGAAAUGACUAGGACCUGGAAUAGUGGACAGUCCAAAUUAAAGAUGAUCUGUCUGAACUGUGGAAGACGACAAGCCUCAGAAGAAGGCGGCUAAGAUCCCAUGACCAUCAACUGGGUAAGAGCAUCUUUAGCAGUAAGUCAACAGGCAGCAACAAGCGGUGAUUGUAACAGGUGGUUUCACAAAGACUGUGUUGGGACUGACAUUCAUUUUCUCUGUGCAGCAUGUUUUUAAAUUGACUAGUAGUACACAAGUGAAAACAACAUUUUUGGGGGGGUGGGGACUGUAGGUGGGGACU
ensembl:lncRNA